CUGAACCAGCCAAGUAGCGUGAAGGAAGAAGGAUCUAUGGUUUGUAAACUUCUUUUAUAGGGGAAUAAAGUGGAGGACGUGUCCUUUUUUGUAUGUACCCUAUGAAUAAGCAUCGGCUAACUCCGUGCCAGCAGCCGCGGUAAUACGGAGGAUCCGAGCGUUAUCCGGAUUUAUUGGGUUUAAAGGGAGCGUAGAUGGAUGUUUAAGUCAGUUGUGAAAGUUUGCGG
rnacentral:rRNA from 1 species